GACGAACGCUGGCGGCGUGCCUAACACAUGCAAGUCGAACGGGGUUAAUUGCUUCGGUAGUUAACUUAGUGGCGAACGGGUGAGUAACGCGUGAGGAGCCUGCCUUUCAGUGGGGGACAACAGUUGGAAACGACUGCUAAUACCGCAUAACAUAUUCGGACCGCCUGAUCUGAAUAUCAAAGCUUUAUGUGCUGAAAGAUGGCCUCGCGUCUGAUUAGCUAGUUGGUGGGGUAACGGCCCACCAAGGCGACGAUCAGUAGCCGGUCUGAGAGGAUGAACGGCCACAUUGGGACUGAGAUACGGCCCAGACUCCUACGGGAGGCAGCAGUGGGGAAUAUUGGGCAAUGGGGGAAACCCUGACCCAGCAACGCCGCGUGAAGGAAGAAGGCCCUCGGGUUGUAAACUUCUUUUACCAGGGACGAAGAACGUGACGGUACCUGGAGAAAAAGCAACGGCUAACUACGUGCCAGCCGCCGCGGUAAAAC
rnacentral:rRNA from 1 species